rnacentral:rRNA from 1 species
GCUCUCCCAUAUGGUCGACCUGCAGGCGGCCGCGAAUUCACUAGUGAUUCGUAUUACCGCGGCUGCUGGCACGUAGUUAGCCGGUGCUUAUUCUUCCGGUACCGUCAGCCUCCCAGGGUAUUAACCCAGAAGUUUUCUUUCCGGACAAAAGUGCUUUACAACCCGAAGGCCUUCUUCACACACGCGGCAUUGCUGGAUCAGGGUUGCCCCCAUUGUCCAAUAUUCCCCACUGCUGCCUCCCGUAGGAGUUUGGGCCGUGUCUCAGUCCCAAUGUGGCUGAUCAUCCUCUCAGACCAGCUACUGAUCGUCGCCUUGGUGAGCCGUUACCUCACCAACUAGCUAAUCAGACGCGGGCCGAUCUUUCGGCGAUAAAUCUUUCCCCGUAAGGGCUUAUCCGGUAUUAGCCCAAGUUUCCCUGAGUUAUUCCGAACCGAAGGGCGCGUUCCCACGUGUUACUCUCCCGUCUGCCGCUGCCGUAUUGCUACGGCCGCUCGACUUGCAUGUGUUAGGCCUGCCGCCAGCGUUCGCUCUGAGCCAUGAUCAAACUCUAAUCGAAUUCCCGCGGCCGCCAUGGCGCCCGGGAGCAUGCGAC